CCUGCCCAUAGAGGUGUUGCGUGUAUGGCUGCUGUGGCACAUGUAUGUAUCAGUAGGUGGCAGAGAGGAGAGAGGCUGUGUCUACACCCAGUGUUCUGACUUAUGAACAUUUGAAUGAUUAGUAGGCUAACAUU